rnacentral:rRNA from 1 species
CACUGACAUUAGAUACCGCGUAGUCCAGGGUGUAAACGCUGCAGACUUGGUGUUGGGGCCCUUUGGGGGCAUUCAGUGCCGGAGAGAAGUUGUUAAGUCUGCUACUUGGGAGUACGUCCGCAAGGAUGAAACUUAAAGGAAUUGGCGGGGGAGCACCGCAACGGGAGGAGCGUGCGGUUUAAUUGGAUUCAACACCGUAAACUCACCAGGGAAGACUGUUACAUGAAGGCCGAGAUGAAGACUCUGCUAGAUUUUCAG